GACGAACGCUGGCGGCGCGCUUAACACAUGCAAGUCGAGCGAUCGGCCAGGGGCUUGCCCCUGGUGCGGAGCGGCGAACGGGUGAGUAUCACGUGGGUGACCAACCCUCGGUUUCGGGAUAACUCCGGGAAACCGGUGCUAAUACCGAAUGGCCUCCCAGGUUCUAGGGCUUGGGAGAAAAGGUAGCUUCGGCCUCCGACCGAGGACGGGCCCGCGGCCGAUUAGCUUGUUGGUGGGGUAAUGGCCCACCAAGGCGACGAUCGGUAGCUGGUGUGAGAGCAUGACCAGCCACACUGGGACUGAGACACGGCCCAGACUCCUACGGGAGGCAGCAGUGGGGAAUCUUGCGCAAUGGGCGAAAGCCUGACGCAGCGACGCCGCGUGCGGGAAGAAGGCCUUCGGGUUGUAAACCGCUUUCAGGAGGGACGAAGCCACUCGGGUUAAUAGCCCAGAGGGUGACGGUACCUCCAGAAGAAGCCCCGGCUAACUACGUGCCAGCAGCCGCCGUAAAAC
rnacentral:rRNA from 1 species